UCUCGCUGCAUCGUUUCUCACAGAAGAGACAAGUGAGAACGAAGAGAAACGACAUCGACGCUCGCGGAGAUGAUCGCAUAUCGUAACAGCGACCGCUGUUUGUCUCGCCUGCCUUUCUACGUUGCGUAUUGACUGCAAACUUGUCUCCCUUCCUGUUGCUCUUUCCUAUCUGUUUGCAUUCUUCGUCUUGUGCGAUGCGCCGCGUCGAUCGGCGUGUCGGCUCGUCGUCGCGUCGUUUCGUUUCGUACUUUGUCAGUGUGACGGUUUGUGUUGCAGCUCGCAGAGUGAAUGCACAAUGGCACAAUCGACGUCGGAAUCUCGUCGGACGAGCGAGCUUGCGUCGACGCACGACGCGUCGUCUGAUGCGAGCGGAAAGGUGUGUAUGUUCACUCGUUGAAACCUGCUCAUCAUCUCUGCUUGUUUCAAGUGUGACAGCGUCGAGAGCAAAUACUUCACAUUGAACUCUUCAGCGUUCACUCUCUGUCAUAGAGUGCCGGCUCGAGAACAUGUCCAAUGAACACGUGACUAUCUGUUUUGAAAGGAUGAAUGGAAGAUGGGUGAGGAGAAGCAAGGAGACGGAUGUCUACAGCAUGGGAGUCACCCUGGUGGAGCUGAAUGUUUACUGUUCGAUCACCUGCUAGGAUCCUCAUCAGAGAGAUGACCCAGUGCAUCAAGUAUGACAGCAGAGACUGGUCACACUGGCAUAUGAUUAUAACUGAUGGCUGUGAUGUCGACGAAGGGAAAGAAACUGGCAACUUUGGGAUGAGGAUUUUCCUGUACAACAAGAGGAAAAAUGAAAGCUGGACAUUUGUGAGUGUGAGAAGGAUAUGUAGUGUUGGUAUGAGUACAUUAGCAAACUUUCCAACUGUGUCAUCACGUGUGACAAUAACUCUUCUAGCAUAUAGUCUCAUGCUUACUGCAUUACAUCCUUGUCAGUCAUUGGUAUAUAUCACAAUACAAGUACAGCAAUAAUUGUUAUACUCUAA